CAAACACGACGAUAGCCUAAAAACGAAAUUUGUUUCCCGUCUUACUGAAGAAGAUCGACUUACUUCAAGUUACCGAUGAAUGAAUAUCAGCUUUCUCGUUGUUUUUGACGACCGAUGCAUAUUUUUACCGACAAACAUCGUUACGAGACAGGGGUUUUGAUGAUUAAUUUAUCACAGAUUACACAACCGAAGGAAACGCAGUACCGAUCCAUGUGUUACAAUCAGACUGAGUCUUCAUGCAGUACAUUCUGGAAUGAGGAACACCGCAUGCAUUGUGGUCCAAAUUGAUGGCAUUGUCUUAACACAAAGCAGAAAGGAAUGAAGAGAAAUUAAGAAGUUUAUGUUUCACAUUAAUUAAGAUUAUUCGAGAUAUGUUAUCUGUCGAGGUAUACAACAUUUCCUUUCAUAAUAAAAGUGUAAACAUUAAUAUAUAUACAAAAAAAAAUCAUGUAUAUAAUCUAAAAAUCCUUGUUAGUUAUUUGUUGUACUAGCAAAAAAUAUAAUAUAGUCGUCUCAAGCUUGGUUGUAUUGAAAUCCCCGGGGACAGUGACAGAGAUAUAUCACUACAGUACGUGCUACAUCAAACAACACACCAUUGUUCAAAUUGUCAAUCAACAUUUCAUUUAGUCAGUAUUUAGAAUUGAUUCCAAACUUAUGAUAAUCUUUUCACAGUUUAUUAGAAAUAAUGUUAAAUUCGAUAGAAGAAGUCUUCGACUGUUGCUUGUUUUUGUUUAUUUUAAGUUCACGGACACACAUGAAAACAGUUUCCAGUACAUCUGGGCUACUUCGAGGAAACUACGUAUACUGUCUGAAAUCAGUCUUGUGCGUCGGUGACAAAAUGUAUACAUAUACUACUAUAACUCUGCUUGAAAAUAUUAUUUUG